UUUUGUUAUUAGGGCACCUCAGGACAUGCUAGUUGUCUGCUAUAGAUCCAAAAGAAUGAAGAACGUGCACCCUCGGGAGCUCUCUGAGGAGUUGAGAACUGACUUUUAGUUAGAGCAGGGUAUUGCUAUCAUGCCCACGACAACCUUGGCAUUCUCAGAAGGCAUGCCACCAAUUUGCUCUGCAGUCCCAGCAAGGAUAUGCUCCACUGCAUUACACAAAUAUACAAAUGAACUGAAAAAGACUGGUCAGGAGCAUCUGGGAAUAGGUCAGGAGAGGAAUCUGCAAGGCAUAGCUGGCCAGCAGCUGAAUGGGUGUUGUGAGGACAGUGUGCCUAUUGGGGGGAAAGCUGCAUGCAUUUGGACAACCCCACACUGACAGGGAGGUCUCCUGAAUAUUUACUGGAUUCUUUCCCUUGACUGCUAGCCUAAAGCCAUUGAUACAUGAUGGAGAAAGACACAGUUCAACCAAGGUUAGAGAUCCAGGAAGAACCAAUGCAUCAGUUCAAGUCCAAAAGCCAAAGACAAAUCCAAUGUCCCAGUUUGACGGCAAUGAGCCAGGAAGAAAUUUCUCUUACUCAGGGAGAGUUCCUUGGUCAGAAGCAAUGCUAUGUAAAAUACCAGGACGGUGGAUAAGGCAUUCUGUAAAUCCACAGAUGGUAGUAUUGGCAGAAGCAUUGCAUGCAGGGAAGGCAAAUCUGUAUCCAGAAUGAAGAAAAGAGUCUCAGAGAUAUGAAGUGGUUUGCACAAGAUCACCUGUUUACAGGACCACAACUCUACCCCAGAACGGCUUGACUUCAAUUCUUGAGUUCUUUCUACUGUUUGGAAGUAGAGACAUGGGAGUUUUAUAUUCUAAAAGGUUUUAUUUUUUUAUAUCAUGUCAAGAAUAAUAAGAAUUACAACAAACCGUGAAAUUGACCAGCAUUCCUAGUCUUAAAAAUAAUUCAGCCAGUUGGAGACAUCAAAGAGUUUUUGAGAACUGUAGGCUUGAGUCUAACCCACCUCCACCUGGAGUAUCACUGGACUGUCUAUUCACCUGGGAAUCCAUGGCAGUACAGCUGGAACAUUUCCCCAAAGUGACUGAUGGCAGCAGGAUAGUAGCUAGUUAGAUGAGUAUGUUCUGCUUUGAUUAUUUAUAACUUUAUACUUACCGCAUAAAGCUGAGAGAUUCAAAAUUCAGCUUGACAAAUGAUCCCUCAGACAAAAUUGUAUCUUCAGGAAACAUGCAUUCCCAUCUACCUGCAUUAGCUGCCUUCUCAUUCUGCAUGAA